rnacentral:lncRNA from 1 species
GGCCGCGAGGGGGCGGGGGCGGGAGCGCGCCCGGGCGGGCUGCCCCGCCGGUCGGGAGAGGGGGUGGGGAGGCGGCGAGGAAAAGUAAAGUGACAGCUGGGUCCCGCGCGCAGACUGGGCUCUGACGGGGGCAAGAGAAAGAGGCCCACUGCAAUAUGCUGUGAAGAAUACAUAAGAAGUCAAACUGUUGACCUCUUUUCCCCAGCCCGUUCCAAAACUACAUCCCUGAGGAGUUGUGCACCUCUACGGAAAGUUCAGAUGAAAGAGCUAAUUCCCCUUGAUCUCUCUUCUUGUUCAGAGUGGAGGAAAAACAUAUACCAUCCCUUCCAUCAAUCCUCAGCAUAACUUUGCCAGGGACACUGGUAACAAGCUACUUUUACCUCAGAAGUUGGAGAGUAUCACUUGACCCACAUUGUGUAUGUGUAAAUAUCUUUAUUCAGUGUAUAUACAAUAUAUUCUUAAUUUGACUCUCAAA